GAUUUUAUCUUCAACGGAGUUAGGUGAGCGUGGGAACAAGAUUAGAUUUUGCUGGAUACCGACAUAUUUAUCGUGACCCGAUCCUUCAUCCUGCUCUAGUAUUAUUGAUGGUGGAAAAUGGUGUGCUUGGUGUGGAGAACUUGCUGACUGUGACAAGGUUUGUGCCCCAAUCCUUGCAAAGAGACACUGGUUCCUAGCAGUAUUUAACUUGGCAUUGAAGAAAGUGGAUGUUUAUGACAAUUUUGAAAUUCCUUCUUUUCACCUCGGGUUCUGUAUAAUUAACAUAAUG